UAACUUAACCACGGACGCAUAAGGUGUCUCAAAGUGAUGGAAUUUUCGAGGAAUUUUUUUCAGAAAAUUUUUAAAAAUUUUCUGGCCACAAUUGACAGCAGGUAACUGAAAUUGCAGAAAGCAAAAUCUCAGAAGAGGUGACUUCUGAAUUCAUCAAAUGAUGGGAAAAAUAUACACAAAAUAUUAACAUCGACUAUCUCUGGGUUGUGGUAACACAGGUGGCUUUUCCUCAGUGUGUUUUUCUGUAUUAAAAAAUAUAGCACAGUCAGAAAAUAGUAUUCAAAAUAUAUUAAAACCUAUGUUGUUUCUUUGUCUUAGAACGAAUCAGAAUUUUCAAACUAUGUGCAAACCUUCAUAUUUUACUACACAUCAUAUUUUAUUGCAAUUGUUUCUUUUCUUGACUUGUCCUGCCUCACUGGAUUUUGGAUUUCUUAAAACUUCAUUUAGUAGAGCAUACAAAUAUUGUUGUAUGAAUAUUAAGGUCAAUUUUAAUAUUGAGCUCUAUUUUUAUAUAAGAUUACAAUGAAUCUCCAAAUAACAUUUUUUUCCUCUUUUAACAUAUAAUGCAGGGCUGAUAUAGGAAACUAUGCCUGGUUUUACUGAUGAGUUUAAUUUUCUAUAAUUGUUUCACAGCAUUUUAACCUAACAUUAAAGCUACCAAUAAAUAUUUUCUCUCUAAGAUCUUAUUUUUUUUAGGUUAAAACUGGCUGACUUAACAUUUGCUGGAAGAGUCAUUAAAUCAUUCCAAUAAGUUUCAGUAUCUUAUUUUUCUAUGGGCCAUUGUUUUUUUCUCUUUAUGUUCAUGUAUAUGAUGGAAAGCAAAUUUGUACUUUUUUGUAUUAAAGAUGCAUUCCAGUUUAGUAGAGUUUUUAUGUCUAGAUGAUUUCCUUCAAAAGGGUUUAUUUCAGGUUAGUUUGGUAAACUGCUCUAAAAAAUAUGUGUGCAUGCAUGUGUGUGUGUGUAGGUAGGUAGGAAGAGAAGAAAUAGGGGAAAAUCCUCUAGGUAAUUAUUUAAACCAUGUGAUACACAAUUAAAUCAACAAUGGAGUGAGGUUCUUAUUCAAAUGCUAACUAAUCAUUAUUAAAUGACAAUUUCUUUAUCUUUUUGAUACUGGGUCUGAUAUUUCUUCAUUGUGAAAUAUGUGUGUAAAUCAAAAUGGCCACAUCUUAUUUUUAUAACUUGAAGGUGUCCUUUAAGAUUUUGUUCCUAAGGGAGAUACUAUUAUUUCAAAAUAUAUUGCUAAUUACAAGACAUGUAUCUUUAUAAAAUGCGUUAAAAAGCUGGUGUUUUCUGGCAAGAAAUGUGGUAUAAAAACAAGCAAAUUUUAUUGCAGCAACUAAUUACCUUUUCUUUUUUGUACUUUGAAGUUUAAACUAUUUAAUUUAUUUUAUUAUUAUUAUUGAUUGAUUGAUUGAUUGAUUGAUUCUGAGACAAGUCUUGCUCUGUCGC
rnacentral:lncRNA from 1 species